UACGAAGGUCCCAAGCGUUAUCCGGAUUUAUUGGGUUUAAAGGGUGCGUAGGCGGUCUAUUAAGUCAGUGGUGAAAGCCCCAAGCUCAACUUGGGAACUGCCAUUGAUACUGAUGGACUUGAGUACAUUUGAGGUGGGCGGAAUGUGUCAUGUAGCGGUGAAAUGACUUAGAUAUGACACAGAACACCGAUUGCGAAGGCAGCUCACUAAACUGUAAACUGACGCUGAGGCACGAAAGCGUGGGGAGCAAACAGG
rnacentral:rRNA from 1 species